rnacentral:rRNA from 1 species
UAGGGGAAUCUUCCACAAUGGACGCAAGUCUGAUGGAGCAACGCCGCGUGAGUGAAGGAGGGUUUCGGCUCGUAAAGCUCUGUUGUUAAAGAAGAACGUGGGUAAGAGUAACUGUUUACCCAGUGACGGUAUUUAACCAGAAAGCCACGGCUAACUACGUGCCG